rnacentral:RNase_P_RNA from 1 species
GUGAUGAGUCGCUCCACCGCGGCGCCGCAAGGCGACGAGGAAAGUCCGGGCAACACAGAGCACCCUGCUUCCUAACGGGAAGGACCGGGAAGUGUAACGCAACCCGGGACAGCCAGUGCCACAGAAAAUAACCGCCCAGUUUAGGACAUGGUGAUUAGGGCGUAGGGAAUAGGUGUUCUUGAACAACCUAAGCCCUAUCCACUAAGCACCAAGCCCUAAACUAGGUAAGGGUGAAAAGGUGCGGUAAGAGCGCACCAGCGGCUGGGCAACCAGUCCGGCUGGGUAAACCUCAGGGGUUGAAAAACCAAAUAAGCUGGCACGCGUCCUGCGCGGACGUACCGGGCGGCUCGUCCGGCGCCAGCGGGUAGGUUGAUGGAGCCUUUCCGCGAGGACUGGCCUAGAUAAAUGGUGGAGGCGCGACCUUUCGGGGCAGCGUACAAAACCCGGCUUACAGACUCAUCACCACG